rnacentral:rRNA from 1 species
UCCAGCNAAAAGGGGAGCGCAGUCACAUCUCAGUAACAGGUGUCUAUUGUGCCCUUGGGGACCGGAACCCCCCGGGGAAACGGGGAUAAUUCCCGAUAGGUGUGGAACUCUGGAAUGAGUUUUGCCCAAAAAGACGGUUUACGUUUUGUUUGUAAGCUUCCCCCCAAGGAUGAGCCCGCGACCGAUCAGGUUGUUGGGUGAGGGUAAGGCCUCCACCAACCCUUUUCCCGGUGCGGGCCGGAAGAGCGGGAGCCCCGGAAGAUGGGCACUGAGACAAGGCCCCAGCCCCUUCGGGGCGCAGCAGUCGCGAAAACUUUGCCAUACACGGAAAGUGUGGCCAGGGGCUAUCCCCGAGUGCCAUCCGGUGAGGAAAGGCUUUUACCCCAGUAUAGAACGCUGGGGGAAUAAGGGAGAGGGCAAGUUUUGGUGUCAGCCCGCCGCGGUAAAUACCAGCUCUCCGAGUUGGUGUGGGAUGUUUAUUGGGCCUAAAGCAUCCGUAGCUGGGCUGAGUUAGUCCCUUGUUAAAUCCACCGAAUUAAUCGUUGGAUUGCGGGGGAUACUGCUCGGCUAGGGGACGAGAGAGGCAGACGGUAUUUCUGGGGUAGGGGUGAAAUCCUAUAAUCCCAGGAGGACCACCAGUGGCGAAGGCUGUCUGCUAGAACGCGCCCGACGGUGAGGGAUGAAAGCUGGGGGAGCGAACCGGAUUAGAUACCCGGGUAGUCCCAGCUGUAAACGAUGCAGACUAGGUGUUUGGACGGCCACGUGCCGUUCUAGUGCCGCAGGGAAGCUGUUAAGUCUGCCGCCUGGGGAGUACGAUCGCAAGAUUGAAACUUAAAGGAAUUGGCGGGGGAGCACCACAAGGGGUGAAGCUUGCGGUUUAAUUGGAGUCAACGCCGGG